rnacentral:lncRNA from 10 species
UGUUCUGAUACAUCAAUACAUCAAUGCAAUAUUUAGGAUGCAAUUUUGUAAUGUGUAGUAAGUGAAGUUCAACAAUUAGGUAAUGUGUUGGGCAUUUGUCAGUUUAAAAAAUACUGAAUAUUGACAUGAUCAAAUGAGAUGUUUGCAUAAUUAAGCAAUAGUGAUGCCAGACAAUUAAAACAUUUAUUUCAUCAAUGAACCUCAUUUGCAUAAUUCAUAUCUCAUAGUGGAUAUUUCAUCUCUAUUUACAUUUAGCAUUCCUUACUAAUCAUGUGUUAUCAAGUAUUAUCAAAUCUUUGUCAAAUGCAUCUUUACCUUGUAUGUGUUAUUUGGCAAUGUGAUUAAAAUAAAAAAAGACUGAAUUAAAAAAGUGAGACUAAAGGCCAUACAUUUAUCGAAAGAAAAAAAGAGGGGAUAUUACAACAGGG